CAACUCCUGAACCCACGUUUGACAAAAUAAACAAAUAAACCCCACUAUCUCCGAAGAUUUGUCUUUAAUGAAAAGGAUUCGUUUGUCCAAGUUCUGUUUCCGAAGCCGAGGCGAUUGCCCGGCUGGAGCGCAUCAUUCCCCUGCUUCUCCCACUCAGCAGCGGCUGGUGGAGGAGGCUCAGCCCCUCGGUAGAUCUGGAGGGGCUGGCGGGAGGGGACGGUUUAUUUGGGAUUUAGGAGUCGGUUUAGGCUUUUUUGUUUUGGAGGGAAUCGGUAGGGGAAGAUAGGUUAGAAUCGAUUCAAAACGAGUUAGCAAGCGCAGUCCGCCGGCAUCUUCUCUCGCCCCCGACCUCCUGCGGCUCCGGCGGAGGGCGAGCUCCCCAGACCACGUUUGGGCCCCGCCGCGGUGCGCCAGCUUCGUUCCCGGCCGAAAUUUGAAAAAGGGAAAAGCGACGCGAUCGACUGGACUGGUCACCCGCAGAGGAGGAGGAGAACGACGACGACGACGAGGAUGGCGGCGCUGGUGGCAGGGACCAGCGUCCCUCCUUUGCGCGCUCGGCCGGGCCCCGGAUCCUUGCUCUGGGACAAGCCAGCCGCCACCCCAAGGGGUCUCUCCCGCGCUGAGCUCGGUCCCUGCGACUCCCGCCCCCGUUGCGCCCGGAGCUCAGCCACAGAUGUCCAGCCACAAUUCUCGGUUGGCCGCAGACUCGUACAAGAAUUGCGUUUGGACAAUCAGUGGCGAAGCCCCUGAGUUAAGGGCCCCAGUCUCCUGCGGGGUUCCGCUUCGCUCCUUAAAAGCGCCGGAUCACAUCUCCGGAGCUGCGCGUACCUCGCAGACGCUCGGCAGUCGCGGCCCAUCCCGCGGUAAGGUGGACCAGCAAGCACGCGGAUCCCGACCCUGCGUGGGGAUCCCCAUCGCCCCCGGCGUGUGUCUCGUUCGAUUGCGGCCCGGGGUCCCUAGAGUAGCCCGCGUUGGGUCUCUGCGCCGCCCCAGGUGGGGGGAAUCUCCUCUGUCAGGCCUGGGGAACCCCGGCGGGCUGGCGAGGUGCAGGGCUGAGCCCGAGCGGGCGCCUCUGGCGGCUCGGGGCCGGGGCGGGCUUUUAGUGGGCCGCUCCAACAAUACGGGCCUGGCGCGGAGAAAGGGGCUCGGCUGCAAUUGGUACUGGAUUUGAAUAACGCCACGGGGCCAUCAAUGGUCAUUGUGUCGGCGGGUAAUGAAUCUCCGCUGUCUCUCGGGCUGGCCAGGCAGCUGCAACCUGCGCUCAGGCAGCUCUUAAAGACAUAGCGUGCCCCUCCCCGGGGGCCGCCCCCCCCUGCACCGGCC
rnacentral:lncRNA from 1 species